GCCCGAGUGGCGCAACGGCAGCGCAGCCGAUUUGUAAUCGGCAGGUUGGGGGUUCGACUCCUCCCUCGGGCU
rnacentral:tRNA from 1 species